rnacentral:rRNA from 1 species
CCUACGGGGGGCUGCAGUGGGGUAUAUUGGACAAUGGGCGAAAGCCUGAUCCAGCCAUGCCGCGUGUGUGAAGAAGGCCUUCGGGUUGUAAAGCACUUUCAGUGGGGAAGAAAGCCUUGGGGCUAAUACCCUCGAGGAAGGACAUCACCCACAGAAGAAGCACCGGCUAACUCCGUGCCAGCAGCCGCGGUAAUACGGAGGGUGCGAGCGUUAAUCGGAAUUACUGGGCGUAAAGCGCGCGUAGGCGGUCUGAUAAGCCGGUUGUGAAAGCCCCGGGCUCAACCUGGGAACGGCAUCCGGAACUGUCAGGCUAGAGUGCAGGAGAGGAAGGUAGAAUUCCCGGUGUAGCGGUGAAAUGCGUAGAGAUCGGGAGGAAUACCAGUGGCGAAGGCGGCCUUCUGGACUGACACUGACGCUGAGGUGCGAAAGCGUGGGUAGCAAACAGGAUUAGAUACCCGGGUAGUC